GAGAUUCUUCCUCUUUUGGUAGUGAGUUUCCAGAGCUUCUUGAUUCUACCACACUUCAAAUCAGUUAAAUGUAAACUUUAUUAGAUUCAUGUAUGUAGUUAAAUUUCAUAGAUUUGAGUCCAGAGAGAGAGAGAGAGACUUACGAGGUAUCUGAUUCAUCAUAAGAAGAUGUUGGAAAGAGACGAAGUUCCAAGUCGCAGUUUUUCUCCAUCUUCUGAGUUGUAAGGACAAUAACUGAUGAUGCUGAUGAUGGUGGUGGUGGUGAUAUUGUGUCUGGAUUGACGAAUAUAAGUUUAUUUAUAUGUUUGGUUUGUGAGGAGGGAGAGAGGGCGCGAGAGAGUUAGUGGAGAUAGAACACGGUAUCCUAAGACAGAGACAGACAGAUCACAGCUUCUUUUUAAUUAUCUCACAUGGAAAAUGUUUUUUCUAUUUUUUUAUUUGUGUAGUAUAGGUUUUGGAUUCUUUAUUAAUUGAACUAGAAUAAAAAGACAAAAGUCACGAAACUUUAUUUUUAUUCUAUUUUUUCCGUUGCAUUUUAAUACGUAUACUACUAAAUCUCUACUGGCGGUUUCGACGCAUUUUGUACAUUUCCGAAAAUAGUACUCUCAUAUUUCAUUCGUUUUGAUUGGAAUAAUUAUUUGUUAAAAUUUUCUGUAUCUUUGGUAUUUUUUAUUAUACUCCUAUAUUAGUUCACCGGUAUACUAAAGUGUUUGAUGCCUACCUGCUUUUUAGUUGUCAAAGUAUCGACUGCUGAAUAGUAUCGACUGCUGAAUAGUUUACCGAUUAAUAUUCACAGGCGGCGUAUCUUCUUAAGUCAAUUCUAUAAUCACUGCACACGCAAAUAUUAUCAAUCUUGGCGGUGUUUGACAAAACUUAUCUGUUGUAUUAAGUGUUACGAAAUUUUAUUAAAUGAUUAGAUUAAGGUAGAAUCAGGAUAACUAAUUAAUAUUUGAUCGAAGCACGUGUUUGCGUCUCCAAUAAGUUGCUCCUUUUGAUAUUUCUUACUUUUAUUAACUCUUCUACAAGAUUCAUAUGUAUCUAUUUUCUUUGCGGCUAUGAAACAAGUGGUAAGGAUUCAUGGAGAAAAAACGUGGUAGGGACAACAUUUUUGAUUAGUGAUUGAAUUUAGUUGUCAAGCCAUCCACUAUAAUGUUAUUUUAGUUAAGAUAAAAACAUAUUUGAAAUGAAAUCGGUUUAAGUAAUUCUCAUUUACAUUCCGCUUUUGGUUGUUAUAAUGUUUAAAUUGAGAUAUGUUGAUCAAUCUUGGUUUAUGCAAAACGCAUCCGUCUAAAAUAAUUCUUUUAAGACCUUUCGGUAAAUGUAGUGGAAACCAUGGGCUAAUCCAAGUCUUAAUUGAGUUCCCAUUGCCUACAUAAUUAGUUACUUUAAUCAUUGAGUCAAUGGCAUUUUUGUUUGUCAUAAAGAAAGAAAUUUAACAAAAAAUUUAUUUGUUAUUUUGUUUAUUUAAUUUAGAUAAGAAACUAACAUAGAAGUAAAACACGUGAGUCAUGAGAAAUACUAGUAACACACGACCUUAAGAUUGUUGGCUUCCCAUGCACCAUUCAAUUGAUUCAUUAUCUCAUAAACAUCGUUUUCGUUUCAGAAAUUAAUUUUGAUUAAGCCUUUACAAAAAAAAUUUGAUUACGUGCCUAGAUGUGGUCGACUUGAUGUGGUCGACUUAUUAACGAUUUAUCCCAUUAAAAUAAAAUAAAAAGUAGUUGACGAAUCCCUUUUUCGUUUGUUUCUAUGUCGACGACUCCUUAGAUGUGCCCGUAUACCGGCAAUAUAGAAAACAAAAGCACGUUGAAAAUAAAUACAAGUCGUUCGAUAUUUCAAAAACAAAUAAGUCAAUUUUGGGACCGAGUUUAACAUGUGGUGUUGUGUUGCACAAAUCAACGAACAAUGAAAUAAUCAAAAGCUAUCUAACAAUCUACCACUGAUAUGAAGCUUGCAGUUUUGACACCCAACGAAUGAACACACUGGUUAUUGUAUUUAAUAUUCAUUUGCUAUGAUUCUUUUUUUCUCGAUAAAAUAUUUAGAAGAAUAAAAAUGAUCUAAAAUUGUGAAAGGAUUAACAACUACUAAGGGUAAACAAGUAAAAGAUAAUAUCCCUCUAAACAUAUAAAAAUAAAUUUUACUAUAAACAUGAAAAUAUUAACCUGAAAUAUUUCACCAUAAACCUUCUUUUGUUCGGGCUGAUAUUGUUUUUAAAAAGAUAUUAAUCCGAACAAAACAAACAUGAGAAGUGAAAUACAUUUUUUGGUAAAAUGAAAAGUGAAAUACUUGUGAAAAAGUAUCAAAGCAAAAUAAUUGAUUAAAAGGCAGAUCCUGAGAAUUGGGAUCCUACAAAGCUACAUUUUCCAAUCAAUAUUCUGGAUUUGAGUUCAAAUACAAAAAAAAAAAUAUUGUAAUUAUUAAAGACUAGAGAGAAAAGUCGAUAAAUAAGAAAAUGAAUUGAUUAGACCAAAAAAGAAGAAGAAUUGAUUAGAGGCUCUGAGCCACAAAGUUGGAAAAGACUAGAAGCAUGUGUCGUCUUUUUUGGGUGAAAAGCAUCUGUUAUUUGUUCUAAUACAGUAUUUUCACAACUUCUGUUGUUAAUAAAUCCGAAGUUAAAAAAAAAGAAGUCCGAAGUUAGUUAAAAUUUCAUUUUAGAAUAAAGAUAUUUUAGAGGACAAAAAAUUACAUGAAUUACCAUCACAAAUUGACAAUGUAACACAGUUGUCUUAGAGCAAACGGUAGAGUACUUGAAAAUGCAGGAAUGUUCUCUAACUUGCAAGAAGUCAAGUUACAUCGUAGGCUUAUCAUCAAACAACGUUCAUCUUUUCUUAUUAAGCCAAAAUCCAAACAAGUCAACCACUCCUACCUCUCGAUGAUGGAUUGUAAAUUCUUAACUCGUGACAAUCUGCUAUCUCAAGUGUGUGCAUAUUCAUGACCAAGGCCAAUUAGCAUCUCGCCACGCAAAGCGACAUCCUCCAAAACCACCACUACAGCCAUCAAAGCUAAUUGGUUCACCAGAGUUUGAUCCAUCUAAACCAACACAUCGAAGUUUUUGAUCACGUUUCGCUGAGUCCUCUCUGUAUGAUGGGUUUGAGUAUCUAGGGUGUUGGAUGAAAGGUACAUUCUUCCACCAGAGCUUAAGUGCCUAUAAAAUGAAUAGCAGUUAUGUAAUCUAGCCUACAAGUUGAUGAUCCAUAUGUACUUACAAAGAUAUUGAGUAUAUAUGAUGUAACUUACAUGCCAAUAGAUCCAUAUAGCAACCUUAUGAGGCAUCAACCAGAAGAAGACCGCGGGAUCUGAAACCCGUGUUUGGUCUAUUCUUUUCGCCUUCAAUGUCGCAGAGAAGUAGUUACCGUGAUGAGGAUGCUGUGAUUCAAUUGAUACAGAUAACUCAUCUCCAGGUUCAUUUGCUCUAAUCUUCCAAUUCCCAAGCAUAUCCUGAAAAUACAGUUAAAAACACUUAAUGAAUUCCACAAGUUGAACAAGAUCAAUCAAUAGAUGAUUGUAACAUCAUGAGAGUAGUAACAUACCAUGAAAGGACUGACUUGUAAUGAUUUAGCAACCAAGUCAGAUUCAGGGUCGAAAACAAAUGUCACUCGUUCCCCCCAUGGCGUAUUUGUAACCUACCAAAAAAAAACCUCUAAUCAUCAUCAACAGAAACACUUAAUGAAGAAACAGAGUAGAGAAAAAUAUGUACCUGUGCAAUGCAUUUACUUAAGCGUUUGCUUGAUCCUUCCAAGUUGUAGCAAUAAUACAAACUCAACGGGUUCUGCUCAUAUCCAACGCUUGGAGGUAUUGUCAAUAAGAAACUGCAACCAAAAAUAACAGAGAUCAUAUACAUAAUAACCUUGAUAGGGAAAACAGUAUCUUGAUCAUCACAUAGCCAUUAAACUUUCUGAAACUAAAAAGAUUCGAUCUACGCUGUUUCAGAUCAUAUACACAUCCUUUACACAAACAGAAUCUUAACUCACUUCUUGACUGUGUAUAUAAUUAUAUAUGUACAUACCUGAAGAUGGGUAACAUUCGAAGAAACACACAUUUUUCCAUUGUAGAAAAUUGUUAUCCUCUGAGAUUCUUCCUCUUUUGGUAGUGAGUUUCCAAGAGAUCUUUUCAUAGAAGCCUUUGGAUUUGGAAGCUGAUGAUGAUGUAAUCUUGUCAACCUGUUCCGAGGAUCCGACCCGUUUGAGGAUGACCUCUCUUCCAUCUCUCUACUCGCGAUCGAUAUUAUAGAUUUAGCCUGCAUUCAUUCAUAAAAAAACAUUAAUGGUUAAUAAGAUCCAUUAAUUGCUUAUAAAAUAUAAUCAUAUAAAUGAAUGUGUAUAUAUGUACAUACCUGAAGAUGGGUAACAUUCGAAGAAACACACAUUUUUCCAUUGUAGAAAAUUGUUAUCCUCUGAGAUUCUUCCUCUUUUGGUAGUGAGUUUCCAGAGCUUCUUGAUUCUACCACACUUCAAAUCAAUUAAAUGUAAACUUUAUUAGAUUCAUGUAUUUAGAUAAAUUUCAUAGAUUUGAUUCCAGAGAGAGAGAGACUUACGAGGUAUCUGAUUCAUCAUAAGAAGAUGUUGGAAAGAGACGAAGUUCCAAGUCGCAGUUUUUCUCCAUCUUCUGAGUUGUAAGGACAAUAACUGAUGAUGCUGAUGAUGGUGGUGGU
rnacentral:lncRNA from 1 species